rnacentral:misc_RNA from 1 species
UCAACCUAGUAGGGACGUGUCCCUGCGCCAAACGACUUUUGUCGGGAUCGUGGCAAGUCUGCGAUCCAGGGGGUGAUGUUGAGAGCCGGAAGGCAAGGGGGUGCAAACACUAGUUGAACUUUGUCCCGAUUGCCGAGUGUUAUGUGCUUGAUGUCCAAGGCUUGAUGCUGAUCCUCCAAGUGGGGCUUGUCCCUGCACCAAUGGCUUUUGCCAGGAUCAUGGUGUUUGUUAUGAUCGAAAAACUGAGGGGGUGAUGUUUAGAGCUGGAAGGCAAGGGGGUGCAAACACCAGUCGGCCUUUGUCCCGAUUGCUGAGUGUUAUGUGCUUGAUGUCCAAGGCUUGAAGCUGACCCUCCAAGUGGGGGCUUUUUUGUUCCUGCGGUAACGACUCUGUUGGGAUCAUUGUGAUCAAGUUUGGUUGGUUUCGUAUUGUGGUGGGUUUUUUCGAAGCUUCUAUCGUUCUUUUACGCAUCGUGCGGUGCAUCUUGGGGGCUGUUUUGGCUUUUGGUUGCUUGCUUGGGCUUUAUGCUAGGCGGGUGGCUAAU